rnacentral:rRNA from 1 species
AACGAACGCUGGCGGCAGGCCUAACACAUGCAAGUCGAACGAAGUUUUCGGACUUAGUGGCGCACGGGUGAGUGACGCGUAGGAAUCUACCUCAUAGUUCGGGAUAACAGUUGGAAACGACUGCUAAUACCGGAUACGCCCUUAGGGGGAAAGAAAUUCGCUAUGAGAUGAGCCUGCGUUAGAUUAGGUAGUUGGUGGGGUAAAGGCCUACCAAGCCGACGAUCUAUAGCUGGUCUGAGAGGAUGAUCAGCCACACUGGGACUGAGACACGGCCCAGACUCCUACGGGAGGCAGCAGUGGGGAAUAUUGGGCAGUGGGCGCAAGCCUGACCCAGCCAUGCCGCGUGAGUGAUGACGGCCUUAGGGUUGUAAAGCUCUUUUAGUGGUGAGGAUGAUGACUGUAACCACAGAAAAAGCCCCGGCUAACUUCGUGCCAGCCGCCGCGGUAA